rnacentral:rRNA from 2 species
GGGAUUGCCCCAGUAACGGCGAGUGAAGCGGCAACAGCUCAAAUUUGAAAUCUGGAGCCUUUGGCUUCCGAGUUGUAAUUUGCAGAGGGAGCCUCGGAGGGCGAGACGGUCCAAGUGCCUUGGAACAGGAUACCGCAGAGGGUGAGAGUCCCGUAUCCGGCCGAUCUUGCGCUCCGUGUGAGGCCCCUUCGACGAGUCGAGUUGUUUGGGAAUGCAGCUCCAAGCGGGUGGUAAAUUCCAUCUAAAGCUAAAUACUGGCCAGAGACCGAUAGCGAACAAGUAGAGUGAUCGAAAGAUGAAAAGCACUUUGAAAAGAGAGUCAAACAGUACGUGAAAUUGUUGAAAGGGAAGCGCAUGGGGGCAGACUUGGACGCGGGGUUCAGCGUUUCGAUUUUGGAGCGUGUACUUCCCCGCGUGCAGGCCAGCAUCGGUUCCGGGGGCCGGACAAAGACGUUGGGAAUGUGGCUCCCCUCGGGGAGUGUUAUAGCCCGGCGUGCAAUGCGGCCACCUGGGACCGAGGACCGCGCCUUGUGCAAGGAUGCUGGCGUAAUGGCCUCAUGCGGCCCGUCUUGAAACACGGACCAAGGAGUCUAACAUCUAUGCGAGUGUUUGGGUGGCAAGCCCGGACGCGCAAUGAAAGUGAACGGAGGUGGGAGUCUGUCAAAGGACGCACCAUCGACCGAUCCGGACGUCUUCUGAAGGAUUUGAGUAAGAGCAUAGCUGUUGGGACCCGAAAGAUGGUGAACUAUGCGUGAAUAGGGUGAAGCCAGAGGAAACUCUGGUGGAGGCUCGCAGCGG